rfam:Escherichia coli TTI89, complete genome.
GAAGUUUAAGGUUGGCACCUCCAGGUUGCCACGGCACACGAAACAGCGUUGGUCCCCAUAUACCGCUAAACUGCAGCGAAGCAGUUAGCAGAGCUAUGUAUAUCAGGUCUGUUUCGUGUGCUGAAUUGUUGACGCAUUUAUUUAUUGGUAUCGCAUGAACCCCAUCGUAAUUAAUCGGCUUCAACGGAAGCUGGGCUACACUUUUAAUC